UACGUAGGUGGCAAGCGUUGUCCGGAUUUACUGGGCGUAAAGAGCGCGCAGGCGGUCGUUCAAGUCGCGUGUGAAAGCCCCCGGCUCAACUGGGGAAGGUCACGCGAUACUGAUCGACUCGAAGGCAGGAGAGGGUAGUGGAAUUUCCGGUGGAGCGGUGAAAUGCGCAGAUAUCAGGAGGAACACCGGUGGCGAAGGCGGUUCUCUGGGCAUUACCUGACGCUGAGGAGCGAAAGUGUGGGGAGGCGAACAGG
rnacentral:rRNA from 1 species